UUGAUAAUUUUGAGAGACAUGGACGAUUUGUCUUGUCAUUUUCACAACACAAGGAUAAAGUAAAGAUGGCGAGAUAUCGUUUCAGUCGUCAUUUUUUCCGAUUGACGAUUUGAUUGUUGCUCGUCCACAU